rnacentral:rRNA from 1 species
CAGCCGCCGCGGGAAUACGUAUGGUGCAAGCGUUAAUCGGAAUUACUGGGCGUAAAGCGUGCGCAGGCGGUUAUAUAAGACAGAUGUGAAAUCCCCGGGCUCAACCUGGGAACUGCAUUUGUGACUGUAUAGCUAGAGUACGGCAGAGGGGGAUGGAAUUCCGCGUGUAGCAGUGAAAUGCGUAGAUAUGCGGAGGAACACCGAUGGCGAAGGCAAUCCCCUUGGCCUGUACUGACGCUCAUGCACGAAAGCGUGGGGAGCAAACAGGAUUAGAUACCCCUGUAGUCCCUGUCUCUUAUAC